rnacentral:piRNA from 1 species
UCUCAGAAAGAGGAAAGCCAUGUUAAGAGA